ensembl:antisense Gm29480 predicted gene 29480
GGGCGACACCUGCAGCUCCGACCGACCACUGCCUCCUCCGCAACGGGGAUGGUUCUGUACAGCUGGAGCCGAUGGGGAAAGCCACUUACUCACAUUUCUUCCUGGAAAUGGAUGAAUGCCCUCAGCCUUCCUAGUCAGUCACACUACUGGGGACACAGGAAUCUUCUGGGCAAACAGCUGCUCAGCCAAGGGGGCUUUGGAUCCAGCAGACUCCCAAAUGGAUGCUCUCUAAACUGCCUGCUCAGGCCACCUCACCAGUGAAUGCCAGGUGACACCAUCCGCUAGGCUUGAGCCUGACCUGUGGAAGAGUGAAGAAAGCUAGCUGACAGCAAACAAACAGCAAACAAGGCAUCAGCAUAGGAGUAUCUGCCUCUCUCUGCUCUUUACUAUGGGUGUGAUGUGUCCAGAUGUCUCAAGUUCCUGCUUCUGACUUCCCUGUAACGAUGGACAUCCUGCCUGGAGAAAACAGCACCAUGGAGGACCCAGCCUCCCUGUUUCCCAGGAGCUCCUCUGAAGGCACAAUACAGAGCCCAGCAGUCAGCUCACAGUCACACAGCCAAGUGAGGGCAAAGCUCGCUCUUGAACUAGGUGGAUUAGCUAAGUCCAACAGAUCAGGCUUGGAUUCGGUGAGGAUGUUUCUCAGUGUUCACUGCUAGCUAAUGGGCACUGAGCAGGUCACUCUCCUGAGAUGGUUCUCAACCAAUGGUGUGACUUUCUCCAACAGCCUAGCCCAACCUUCCUUCUGAGUCCAGUGUCACUGUGCCACUGCACACAGCACCAACAGCCCAAGCGCACCCAUCCAUAUGCCUUCCGGUCUCCACUCUGCAUGGCUCUGAUGUCACCAUACUGACUGACCCCAGACUGCCACUCUGCCAGACAGAAGCUCUGGAAGCCUGGGAACAGAACUUGGCUGCAUCCUGACACCCAGAAUGCACUGUGUCUUCCAGGGCAGCUUGGGGAUCUCUACUCCAAGGAGGCGCUAAGGCACCCAACACUGAAUUCACAGAGCUGUCUUCUAGCCCUGCCCUACUCUGAAGACAUUGGCCACCUUUGGUGUAACUAUCACCCCUGUGUUGGCUAAUAUAUUCAUUUGGCAGGGUUUAGAAUCAUCUAGAAGAUAAACUUCUGGGCAGGCCUGUGAAAAAGUUUCUAGAUUGCAUUGAAGUGGGAAGACCCAUCUGACAUGUGUAGUAGUAUCUCUUGGGGUUCAGUCGCAGGCUGAAUAAAAAGAAAUAAGGGGGCUGGAGAUGUGGUUCAGUGGUAGAACACUUGCCUAGCAUAUACAGGCUGUGGGUUUGAUCCUGUCCUGGCUAGUAUUAUGACAACCUGACACAAGAGAAGUCAUUUGGGGAAAAGGGAACCUCAGUUGAGAGAAUGCUUCCAUAGGAAUGGCCUAUAGUGCAGUUUUAUAAUUAGUGAUUGGGGGCUGGAGAGAUGGCUCAGCGGUUAAGAGCACUGACUGCUUUUCCAGAGGUUCUGAGUUCAAUUCCCAGCAACCACAUAGUGGCUCACAACCAUCUGUAAUGGGAUCUGACGCCCUCUUCUGGUGUGUCUGAAGACAGCUAUAGUACUCAUAUACAUAAAAUAAAUAAAUCUUUGGACUGGAGAGAUGGCUCAGAGGUUAAGACAGCUACAGUGUACUUAUAUAUCAUAAAUAAAAUAUUUU